rnacentral:lncRNA from 1 species
UGUUCGAGAUGUUUCCACACGGGAGAGGUGUUGCAGACAAACAUGCGCCGGUGAAGAUUCGCUCAUCGCAACCAAUUUGUUCAGUGGUCGCAAAUUUUACGUUCGCUCAACACAACUGAUAAGUGCGGUCGCGAUGAACAUGGCAGUGUUAGUGCUAAUGCCAAACAGUUUUGCUCUAAAGAAUGAAUUGUUUUAUCUGUGCUUUUUUUGGUGCUCUCAUGCUGUAUAGCCAAAUUUAUAUCUGCAUUGAGGCAGGUAAAGUCACAGUUGUCAAAAUAUCGUGCACCAUGACGGAUGACAAAUGCAACGACCACUGCUUCCAAAAGUACGGAUAUUUCGGGCGACACAUUCCGAGAAACGGGAAGGAGCUCACUUUUGGUGUCGUGUAUUUUCGCAAGAUCUGUAUCUGUCACUUAGCAAAACACCUGAAGGAAUAUUUAAAAGAUAACAAGCUGCAGUGGCGCAAGCUGUGGCUCAAGAUGAUUUGGUCACCGAAAAGCUUCCAUGAGUGGCUCACCCACUACAAUGUGCCGUUCAUCACCCAUAAGACAGCGGAAGACAAAGGAUACCUCCUUUGAGCCCUUGGAUGGAAAUGAUUGGACCUCAAGCACCGUAGGACUUUUCUCAUCACUGUUGCACGUUUAACACCUUAAAAUACUAUGAACACCCAAAAUCAACGCGUAAGGGGCCGUUCAAGUAUUAUGUAAUGCAAUCAAGGCUUGAGGCAACGUUACUGUGCGUUACAAAGGGGGGGGGGGGAUGAAAACCAUAUUCAACUUCAGUCAUAUCUGCUGUGAAUUCAAACUUAUCACUCAUCAAAUAAGUAGACUAUUGUUUCUCAAACUUUUUUCUUUUCCAAUGCGUCGUAGUAAUAAACUUGUCAAGAAAUAUCCAGCACUGAAAGAAAAUCAUUUCAUCAUUGUUUAACACACUAAAAUGAGUGUUCAAUUUGACUCUCGUAAACAUUUUUAUAACAAGCUAAAUAAAUUUUUUAAAACAAUACCAGGCACCUGAGAAGAAACGUUGUACAUUUUUUUCGUAAUCGUGGUAGUUUGCUAUAGUUUAAUUUAUUGUUCGUGGGUCAACCCUAUGAAGUCAAUUUAUUCUACCCGUUUGUGUAUCCCAUACCUCAGUGACAUUUUCUCAUUUUGCUGGCUUUGAAUGCUUAUUUGGUCAACACCGAUCAGAAUGAGAUUCGAGUUCAGUCCAGUCGCGUGAGCAAAGUCUGUGUUUCCUAAUUAAUCCACCUGUUUUGCGUUAGCACGCGCUGCGGUAUGGAGAUUAAUGCGUUUUAAAUGCGAGUUUUUCCUUAUUUUAUUCAGCCUCUCUUGGAGUAUUCUCCGAUGCGUUCAGUUAUGUUGUAAUUCAGUUUUAAUUUUUCUACAUCUUUAUUUCGCAUACAAUUUACCCGAUACAGAGUCAUGGUAAGUUCAAUAUUUUAUACUACUCAAGGAAUAAAGGAUGAAUUACAAAAUCAUUCGUUCCAAACG